GCCAUCGUGGCGCAAUGGUAGCGCAUCACCUUCCUAUUCUGAGCUCUUCGGAGAAUAGGAGAGUGAUAGGUGGGGGUUGCGGGUUCGAUCCCCGUCGGUGGUA